rnacentral:rRNA from 1 species
GGCGGCAUGCCUAACACAUGCAAGUCGAACGGCAGCACGUACUAGUUUACUAGUAUGGUGGCGAGUGGCGGACGGGUGAGUAAUGCGCAGGAAUAUGCCUUAAAGUGGGGGACAACUUGGGGAAACUCAAGCUAAUACCGCAUAAGCUCUUAGGAGUAAAGCUGGGGACCUUCGGGCCUGGCGCUUUGAGAUUAGCCUGCGUCCGAUUAGCUAGUUGGUGGGGCAAGGGCCUACCAAGGCGAUGAUCGGUAGCUGGUCUGAGAGGAUGGCCAGCCACACUGGAACUGAGACACGGUCCAGACUCCUACGGGAGGCAGCAGUGGGGAAUAUUGGACAAUGGGGGCAACCCUGAUCCAGCAAUGCCGCGUGUGUGAAGAAGGCCUGAGGGUUGUAAAGCACUUUCAGUGGGGAGGAGGAUUGACAGGUUAAGAGCUAGUUAAUUGGACGUUACCCACAGAAGAAGCACCGGCUAACUCCGUGCCAGCAGCCGCGGUAAUACGGAGGGUGCGAGCGUUAAUCGGAAUUACUGGGCGUAAAGGGUGCGUAGGUGGUUUAUUAAGUUAUCUGUGAAAUCCCUGGGCUUAACCUGGGCAGGUCAGAUAAAACUGGUGAACUCGAAUAUGGGAGAGGGUAGUGGAAUUUCCGGUGUAGCGGUGAAAUGCGUAGAGAUCGGAAGGAACACCAGUGGCGAAGGCGG